rnacentral:rRNA from 1 species
GCCGUUCUCAGUUCGGAUCGGAGUCUGCAACCCGACUCCGUGAAGCUGGAUUCGCUAGUAAUCGCGCAUCAGCCAUGGCGCGGUGAAUACGUUCCCGGGCCUUGUACACACCGCCCGUCAAGCCAUGGGAGCCGGGGGUGCUUGAAGUGCGUAGCCGCAAGGCGCGCCCUAGAGCAAAACCGGUGACUGGGGCUAAGUCGUAACAAGGUAGC